rnacentral:rRNA from 1 species
GAGUUAUCUGAACCUUCGGGGAACGAUAACGGCGUCGAGCGGCGGACGGGUGAGUAAUGCCUAGGAAAUUGCCCUGAUGUGGGGGAUAACCAUUGGAAACGAUGGCUAAUACCGCAUAAUGCCUACGGGCCAAAGAGGGGGACCUUCGGGCCUCUCGCGUCAGGAUAUGCCUAGGUGGGAUUAGCUAGUUGGUGAGGUAAUGGCUCACCAAGGCGACGAUCCCUAGCUGGUCUGAGAGGAUGAUCAGCCACACUGGAACUGAGACACGGUCCAGACUCAUACGGGAGGCAGCAGUGGGGAAUAUUGCACAAUGGGCGCAAGCCUGAUGCAGCCAUGCCGCGUGUGUGAAGAAGGCCUUCGGGUUGUAAAGCACUUUCAGUCGUGAGGAAGGUAGUGUAGUUAAUAGCUGCAU